rnacentral:tRNA from 1 species
GCGCCCUUAACUCAGCUGGAUAGAGCACGUCCCUUCUAAGGAUGUGGUCAUUGGUUCGAAUCCAAUAGGGCAUGCCA